rnacentral:rRNA from 1 species
CCUACGGGUGGCAGCAGUGGGGAAUAUUGCACAAUGGGCGUAAGCCUGAUGCAGCAACGCCGCGUGAAGGAAGACGGUUUUCGGAUUGUUAACUUCUGUUUUUAGGGAAGAAUAAUGAUGGUAGCUACGGAGCAAGCCACGGCUACCUAAGUGCCAGCAGCCGCGGUCAUACGUAGGUGGCACGCGUUGUCCGGAAUUACUGGGUGUAAAGGGAGCGUAGGCGGGAAGCCAAGUCAGCUGUGAAAACUACGGGCUUAACCUGUAGACUGCAGUUGAAACUGGCGUUCUUGAGUGAAGUAGGGGUAGGCGGAAUUCGUGGUGUAGCGGUGAAAUGCGUAGAUAUUCGGAGGAACACCGGUGGCGAAGGCGGCCAACUGGGCUUUAACUGACGCUGAGGCUCGAAAGUGUGGGGAGCAAACAGGAUUAGAUACCCGAGUAGUC